AGUGAACGCUGGCGGUAGGCCUAACACAUGCAAGUCGAACGGCAGCACAGUAAGAGCUUGCUCUUACGGGUGGCGAGUGGCGGACGGGUGAGGAAUACAUCGGAAUCUACUUUUUCGUGGGGGAUAACGUAGGGAAACUUACGCUAAUACCGCAUACGACCUACGGGUGAAAGCAGGGGAUCUUCGGACCUUGCGCGAUUGAAUGAGCCGAUGUCGGAUUAGCUAGUUGGCGGGGUAAAGGCCCACCAAGGCGACGAUCCGUAGCUGGUCUGAGAGGAUGGUCGGCCACACUGGAACGGAGACACGCUCCAGACUCCUACGGGAGGCAGCAGUGGGGAAUAUUGGACAAUGGGCGCAAGCCUGAUCCAGCCAUACCGCGUGGGUGAAGAAGGCCUUCGGGUUGUAAAGCCCUUUUGUUGGGAAAGAAAAGCAGCAGGUUAAUACCCCGCUGUUCUGACGGUACCCAAAGAAUAAGCACCGGCUAACUUCGUG
rnacentral:rRNA from 1 species